UACAGAGGGGGCAAGCGUUGUUCGGAAUUACUGGGCGUAAAGGGCGCGUAGGCGGCCUGUUAAGUCGAACGUGAAAUCCCCGGGCUCAACCCGGGAACUGCGUCCGAUACUGGCAGGCUUGAAUCCGGGAGAGGGAUGCGGAAUUCCAGGUGUAGCGGUGAAAUGCGUAGAUAUCUGGAGGAACACCGGUGGCGAAGGCGGCCACCUGGACGGUAACUGACGCUGAGGCGCGAAAGCGUGGGGAGCAAACGGG
rnacentral:rRNA from 1 species